CGAGUCGGCAGUGGCAAGUCUGGAAUCGGACCAGAUGAGGAGCAGCAGUCGCCAUCUUCACAGCCGCGAGUAAAGGUGGCUGUCGCACCCUCAAAAUUCUUCGUUUCUAGGAGUAGAUCCUGCCGAAGGAGCGGAAAGCGUUCGCCGCCCGGUUUGCAAAGCGCGAGUUUCUCCCGUGCUGUCCCGUUCGUCCCGGUGACUGUGAUAGAGGCGAGAGGGAAGCCGGUCUGGCCGGAGGAGCAUCUCCGCCCUCCUCAUCUUCUCUGACACUUCGUACACGUUCCCCGGUUUAACUUCCCGACCGCGAGCGAUGAGUGUGAAAAUGGCCGGGCAGACUAUGACGGAUAGGCUGCUCGCGGCGCGGCACAGCAUCGCAGGCCAAGGGCUCGCCAAGUCCGUCUGCAAGGCGACCACCGAAGAGCUCAUCGGGCCCAAGAAGAAACAUUUGGACUAUCUAAUCCACUGCACAAAUGAGCCAAACGUAUCAAUACCUCAGCUGGCGAAUCUUCUCAUUGAAAGGACACAGAAUACAAACUGGGUCGUAGUCUUUAAAGCGCUCAUUACUGUACAUCAUCUCAUGUGUUACGGAAAUGAGAGGUUCACGCAGUACCUCGCAUCCAGCAACAGCACGUUUCAGCUGAGCAACUUCCUCGACAAAAGUGGAGUACAAGCCACAGGUGCUAGAGUCGGCUACGAUAUGUCCCCGUUUAUCAGACGAUAUGCCAAGUACCUCAACGAGAAAGCGAUGUCAUACAGGACUGUGGCUUUCGACUUCUGCAAAGUAAAGAGGGGAAAGGAGGACGGAGUUCUGCGAACGAUGAACUCUGAGAAAUUACUUAAAACUCUGCCAGUGCUUCAAGGCCAAUUGGAUGAACUUCUCGAGUUCGACUGCACUGCUGCCGAUCUUAGCAAUGGUGUGAUUAACAUGGCUUUCAUGUUACUCUUUAGGGACCUUAUCCGCUUAUUUGCUGGCUAUAAUGAUAGUAUUAUUAACCUAUUAGAAAAGUAUUUUGAAAUGAAUAAAAAACAAUGUAGGCAAGCCUUAGACUUAUACAAAAAAUUCCUGAUAAGAAUGGAUAGGGUUGGAGAAUUUUUAAAAGUCGCAGAAAAUGUAGGUAUAGAUAAAGGAGAAAUCCCGGAUUUAACAAAGGCUCCAAGCAGCCUCCUUGAUGCUCUUGAACAACAUCUUGCUGCACUCGAAGGCAAAAAAGGCUCAGCAGCAAAUACUCCCACACAGUCUGCCAGCAUUAGGCCGAGAUCAAGCUAUUCCUACCUUCCCUGUCCUCAAGCUCCUUACCAUUACUCCGACAACUAUUGGAUCCGCCAACGAUCCGAUGUGAAGAGCGGGGUUUCAGCCCUCAGUAACACAAGCAGCGCUUUCGGCACAGCAGCAGCGCACAAUGUCGACGCCAGUGAAGAAGCUCUGAGACAACAGGCUCUUGCUGAGGAAGAAGCAGCAAUAAAUCAUUAUAAGUCAAAAGUGCAAUCACCCACCAAUUCUGGUGCAACAGCUACAAACCCAUUCCUUGUCGGUUCACCGACACAGCCGAUAGUUGAUUUAUUCGCUGCUCCGAUUCCAACUAAUGAAGUACACGUGCAACAAUCGACCAAAGCUUCAGAUGACUUGCUGCAGCUUGGGAACCCAUUUGCAGAUAUGUUCAGUACCCCUGCGCCCACUGCCGGCGUGCCAGCAGCACCGCUUGCAGCUGUCCAGCCACAAGCGCCUGUCAAUAAUGUUUGGAUGUCAAAUGGUUUCAAUGCUGCUCCUGCACCAGCUCCCGCUAAUGCAUUCGUCAGCGACAACACCUUUAACUCAGUCUUCGGAGGAGCAACUGAUAACGGCACUGCAGCUCCACAAGCUGGCGUAGUGGAUCCCACGGUGAAUCCUUUUAUGACAGACUUCCCCGCGGGUGAAGAGCCGGGGAAGACUGCGACUCCUCCUCCUCCCAGACCUCCUCCUCCUCGUCCUUCCUCACCGCCCAAGACGGCCCUGGACGACCUGAACGACUCGAUAAGGAUGGCGAUGGGCGGGACGCCCUCACCGUCGAGGCCUCCGCUUCCUUCUGCUCCCACUCCCAUUCCCCAACAACAGCCGUACCAAAUCCCGCCCCAGAACCCGCAGAUGCACUACAGUUCUCCGGCCAAGGUACCCUUGGUAGCGAUGCAAGGAGGAGCGGAAUCUCAGACAGGCAAAGUCCUCACUGGCGAUCUGGACACCAGUUUAGCAAUGCUCGCCGAGAAUCUCACGAUGAACAAGGGCAACCAGCAGACACAGAAGGGCAUGCAAUGGAACUCACCGAAGAACACAGCAAAAGGCGCGGGUGGCACGGGGUGGAGCCCUCAACCUAUGGCUGCUACGACAGGCGCCAACUACAGACCCAUGGGCCAGGGCAUGAUGAGCACGCCGCAAUUCAACAAUUUCCACCAUAUGGGUAUGAUGCCAGGUGGUAUGGGCUCUCCAAGGCAAGUCCCUCCAAGUGCCCAGCCCCCUUCGCAGGCACAGGAGUUAGACCCUUUCGGUGCUCUUUGAACAGAAAGGUGUAAAAUGAAAAUGAAAGUCCAUUGUGCAAAGCAAGCUGCAUAAAUCAGCAUGUUGAGGAUGUGCUUGUAUUCGAUUUUUUCUUCUUUUUUUAAAGCCAGAAUUUGAAGUUGCAUUGUUCGACCUUUUUCUUUCUAAGCCUGUUUCUUCGACAAGGGGUUGAAAAUGUCAAAAAGAAGAAUAGGCAGGCGAGGUGUUAGACUCAUCAAACGAAGUCCUUGUAACACGGCCAACGAGAUACCAAGGAACUAUUACGCUAAGGACUUUAUGGCAUCCGGGACGAGUCUAACGAUCGAGGUCUUCAAAAGGUCUUAAGUAAAAUUACCCAAUGGGUCAAACAUUAAAACUGUUGUGAGAAAA
rnacentral:misc_RNA from 1 species